AUGCCCGGCGAGGCCGUGAGCCUGCCCCGGGGCAGCGCGGUGCCGUGCCUCGCUCCGGCCCGGCUCCGGCCGCCACCACCGCCAGGACAGCGGGCACGGACAGGGCGCGGGAUCACCCCCGAGCCGGGGGCCGAGCGGGGAAGGCGUCCCCAAUCCGCCGAGCGGAGCCGCGCAGGGGUCCCGCCGGAUCGCCCCGGGAGCCGGGGCCGGGCACCGGGCGCAGUUCUGCCCGGCGGGGCCGGCGGCACCGGCGGAGGCUCCCGGGGUCAGGUUACCGGGGCGGCCGCCGGUGAGAGCAGGGAUGUCGCUACAGACAUAUGUAAACGUGGGCACGCCGGGGUUCGCUCGCGGCGGCGGUGUGAAACCAUCCUUGAUGCGGGGCUGGCUCUUUGGUUGAGGGUUUUUUUUCCCCUGCUUCCCCUUUCGUUCUCUUUCCAGCUUCUCCUUUUCUUGGAUCCUCGCCUGUCUCCUCCCACAGAACGAGAGAGAGAGAAAGAGAAAAAAAAAAGGUCACGUAUGUUUGGAAAAAUAUGUAGGUCAGUGGAACAUUCCCUGCACUUGUGCACAGGAGCCGGGGCGGGAGAGCUCCUCCGCAGCCCUCUCGCUACCCAUCGCCCCAGCCCGGCCCUCCCGGCGCCCACCGCGGGUAGGGGAGCGCCUAGCGCCAGGGUCUCUUUACCCCUCCCUGACCCAUUUCGAGCAACAGCCACGCGUUUGGGCUCCCCCCGGCUCUCAAUCCCCCCUCCCCCCGUUCCCCCCCCCAGCUCCCCCCGCUCCCUGCCGGAGAAGGCGAGCGAGCAGCGGAGGAAGCCGGCGCGGGAGAUCCUCUGCCGCCGGGGCCGCGGCUGCGCCCAUGGGCGCGGGGCGCGGAGCGCGCCCCCGCAGCGCCGCCGGCUGAGGGCGCGGGGCGGUGGCCCGGCGGCGGGGGCAGGCGAGGGGAGGCGGCAGCGGGCGGCGAUGAAGGGCCGGCGGAGAGGAUGCCCCCGCCUCGCCCGCCGGGCUCCAACUUCGCGGAGAACUAUCGGCCCCGCAGCCCCCGCGCCCGCCCUGCCUCUCCCGGCCGCGCGUCCAACUUAA
rnacentral:lncRNA from 1 species